CCUACGGGAGGCAGCAGUGAGGAAUAUUGGUCAAUGGACGAGAGUCUGAACCAGCCAAGUAGCGUGAAGGAUGACUGCCCUAUGGGUUGUAAACUUCUUUUAUAUGGGAAUAAAAUGUUCCACGUGUGGGAUUUUGUAUGUACCAUAUGAAUAAGGAUCGGCUAACUCCGUGCCAGCAGCCGCGGUAAUACGGAGGAUCCGAGCGUUAUCCGGAUUUAUUGGGUUUAAAGGGAGCGUAGGUGGAUUGUUAAGUCAGUUGUGAAAGUUUGCGGCUCAACCGUAAAAUUGCAGUUGAAACUGGCAGUCUUGAGUACAGUAGAGGUGGGCGGAAUGCGUGGUGUAGCGGUGAAAUGCUUAGAUAUCACGAAGAACUCCGAUUGCGAAGGCAGUUCACUGGACUGCAACUGACACUGAGGCUCGAAAGUGUGGGUAUCAAACAGGAUUAGAUACACUUGUAGUC
rnacentral:rRNA from 1 species